AUUGAACGCUGGCGGCAGGCCUAACACAUGCAAGUCGAGCGGAGCGGCGGACGGGUCGAUAAUGCCUAGGAAUCGUCCUGGUAGUGGGGGAUAACGUCCGGAAACGGGCGCUAAGACCGCAUAAUAUCAGCUGAGCCGAGGUCGGAUUAGCGCGUUGGUGGGGUAAAGGCCUACCAAGGCGACGAUCCGUAACUGGUCUGAGGGGAUGAUCAGUCAAACUGGAACUGAGACACGGUCCAGACUCCUACGGGAGUAAGCAGGGGGGAAUAGUGGACAAUGGGCGAAAGCCUGAUCCAGCCAUGCCGCGUGUGCGAAGAAGGGAUUAGGAUUGUAAAGUACUAUAAGUUGGGAGGCGUUACCAGCAGAAUAAGCGCCGGCUAACUUCGUGCCAGCAGCCGCGGUAAUAC
rnacentral:rRNA from 1 species